GAAUAUCUGUGCAGACACCUUUCAGAAAAGCUUUUUUGAAUAUUGUUUUUGCAAACACACGGAAGAGGUGAUGUGCGAAGUCAAUAGCUUUUAUUGUCCAGCAUGUCACCCAGACAUGUUGGCGGUAUGUUGCGAUGGCAAUCGCAAACAUUAUCGCUUUAGAAAAUCAAGGGGGACUGAGGAACCCUCUCUAUAUGCGGGGUUAUUUCUUGCCCAGGAUGAGGAGGUAUCGGCCUUCCUGAACAACAUCAGAGGCAGCAGCAUGACAAGAGCAAAUGACAGUGGGAUGUGCGGCGUCUCAAGGUUCAGGGCAAGUAAGGAGACAUCAAAAAAAUCAUCCUCCAAAGUAGAUGAAGAGGGGAUUCAAGUG